AACCUGUCCUACAAGAUGACUUGAAUGGUGCUCCUUGUUUCGUCAUUCCUGUUUCGUUGUCAUCAGACCUGUUUACGGGUCGGUGUGGGUUUUGAGGUUGUUUUUUUUAACUGGAGGAACAGUUCAAUGCUUUUCACUUGUAGACUUUGUGCCUGUAUGAUGUGGAUGUCAUCUUUCCUCAUUUAACUCAAGUUCUUCACGUAUUUUAAAACAUCAGGACCCUCUCAGGGAUUUGGGAACAACAACGAAGGACUGAAAAAUGUCAAAAGAUAAAAGUGAAAAAAAGGACAAAUCUGAAAAGGCUCUGGCAGCGGAAAAAGAACAAUUUGUCAAACUUCAGCUGCAGAGCAUUUCAAAGUGCAUAACCUCCACUGAGGCACCAAUAAAAGAGAGAUAUGGACGCAGUAUCUUUCAGAGCCUUAAGUGUUUUCUAUUCUCUUGUUGUGAAAGUCGGGGAAGUAAUUAUGUACAGUACUGUGCAAAAGCCUUAGGCAAAUGCAAAGACAUGCUGUAAAGCAAAGAUGCCUUCAAAAAUAAUGAAAUGAAACAUAAGAGUUAUAAAGUCAAUAUUUGUGUCAACCCUUUGCUUUAAAAAAAACAUUUUUAAAGGCGUCAUUAAUCUCAGGUACACUGUACAGUAUUGUAAAGAAAUUGCCUCAGAAUCUUCCACAGUUCAUCUGUGCACUUUUUUUUGUUGCAUGCAAAUCCCAGCAGCCUUCAUUACAUUUUUGUUUGAAAAGUGAGCUGUUGCAUACACACACAACAACAUUUUUCUGUACCACUUAAUUUUUUAUUGGAAAAGUAAUGUUUGGAAAUAGAUUUUUUUUUUGUAUUGACUCAAUAAAGGUUCCUUUAGUAGUAAAAAAUAAACCCAUUGUUAAAACUUGGGAAGAUAUAAGGAUGUAUACAGCAGUGGUAG
ensembl:lncRNA